CAUCUAGGAGGGACAGAGUAUAGAGCUGAUCUUUAGGAUGGAGUAGAAAGUGCUGGGAAGGCGGAUGUAUAUAAACAAAAGGUCUUUAAAUGACCACACACCUCCUCUCCAACCUCUAUCAAGAAUUGCUGUUAGAAGUUUCCAGUCUGAAGGGGACAGAAUCUUGAGCUUUUUGAAGAGCAAGAGAUGAGAACAAGGACAUUAGAUGUUGGAGUGGGCCUGGAAGACGUUUGGUCCCUAAAUGGGAGGUGGAAAGUCCUCAGAGGGCCAUGCUGACAAGAUGGGCCCUAGAGCUGGGUCCUUAGUCAAGGACUCUCUUGUGUUACAUAUGACAUAAAAGCAGCCCCAUCUAAACUUGGACAACGGACAUCUCUGCACCAACCUGUUCAGAGAAAAAAGCAGAGGAACCUUCCUGAUGUACUGACAUGGUGUGGGAUCUCUGGACUACUGUGAUACUUGUGUGGAGGAAGGGAAUCUUCCCAUUAAUUGAGGAAAAAUUCUCUGUGUUCCAAUGGGAUGAGGGUUCAGAUUAGGGUGAGAAGUUUCACAUUUCUCUCUGCUACAUUUGGUGUGUGGGCUUGGAAUUUCCUUUUUAAUAACUCCCAAGUACAUCAUACUCAUUUCUUGUUUUAUUUGUAGCAGAGAAAAAUAUUUACAGUAUUUUUAUCUUUGACCUUAGAGAUAGGUAUGCGUAUAGGUUUAGAUAUAUAUGUAUAAAUGUAGUUAUUUUCACCCUGCCUUUUCCCACAAAUGAUUUUAGACAAUAUAAUUGCUUUGUUUGGGGAAAUUAUCAAUUCAGUGCUAAAAAUCUCUCUUCCACAUUGACAAUAAAAUAUAGCUAAAAAAUAUUGUGCUACCAAUUGACUUGAGACUAGAGCUAAAUCUAAAUUUACUCAUUGUUUAAGAUACAUGGUUUAUUUAAAAAUUAAGAAUUUACAAAAUUCUAUGGCUUAGAGAGUUGGUAUUUUCAUGAGCCCACAUCAUGUAGCAGCUAAUGAAUUUAAGCUCUAAGGCCAGACAUACCUGAGAUUCAAUUCCAGGUUUCUUAAUGCUAUCUUUGUAAUAUUGGGCAAGUUAUUUUCUCCUUAGUUGUAUAGGGUCAUUGUGAGGAUUGACUGUAAAUGUGGGAUAAAGCACUUGAGCAGUGCCUGCACAGACUUCAUGUUUAAUGUUUAAUAAUGCUAGUUAGUUCUUCCUACUAAAGAGUCCUGCUAUCAAGAACUUAGGAUGUACCCAUGUGAGGCAAGCAAUCCAUUUGUUCAAAACAAGUCAUAAUCCUUGGUUUAUUUAAGUUAGACUCCUAAGAAUCCCCAAAAACACAUUUUAGCAUUGCUACUAUGUGUACCCAGAGAAAUAAAUCUAUAUUUCUUUGGGAUAUCUUAUAAGUCAAAUGAUUUACUACUUCAAACUGAUACUUCCCUAGACUUACAAUGAAAAAUGAGAUGUCUUUAUUCAAUGACAAUACCUGUGUUGGCUUGCUUUUUCCAAAAGUAGUAAUGGAUUACACUAAAUUAUUAGCAUAGUUUUCCCACUUUUACCUGUUACUUCUACAUAUUUAUCUGUCUCUCUGUGUACGUGUAUGCUUGCCUGUGUGCAUGUGCACAUAUGCCUACAUUCAUGCCCCUAAAGAAUGUAAAGUUAAUUAAGUUCAGUACCUUAAUAGGUGUUGAUGUUAUCACAUUGGCCCAAUAAAUGCUGUGCACCAAUUUUUAUCUAUCUAUCAUCUAUCUAUCUAUCUAUCUAUCUAUCUAUCUAUCUAUCUAUCUAUCAUCUAUCUUUGGGAGACAGUGAGUGAGCAGGAGGAGGAGCAGAGGGAGAGGAACAAGUUGACUCCACACUGAGUGCAGAGCUUGAUGUGGGGGCCUGAUCCCAGGACCCAGAGAUCAUGAGUGGGGAUGCUGAGUUGACUGAGCCACCCAGGCACACCCUGUGCACCAAUUUACAAACUAAUUCAGACUACUGAGAAUCCAUGGCAGGACUAGAUAAUGCAUUUUUAGAGCAUAUUUGUACAAUACAUGACAUAUGCUGAUAUAAAUCAUUUUUAAGAGGGAUCCUACAGGGGGUAAUACUUGCUUAUUCAGCAGUUUUUGUUGUUGUUGUUGUUCAGCAGUUUUUUAAGGAAAAAAUGUGGUCUUUAUUUGAAUAAUAUAACUUCUACCUCAUUUAAGAUAUUUAUUAGAAAGUUAUUUUUACUUGGGAAUUUAUUAUUGCUCAUAAAAAUAAUUAGAAUAACCAAACACGUACAAUGGAGUGAAAAAUACACACUGUUAAGUAACAAUAUGUGGUGAUUAUUUAGUUCAAAAAUACCAAAAAUCCAUAGGGUGGUAAGAUUGUCCUUCCUUACCAAAAAGGCGUGGAAACCUUUGUUAGAUGGAAUUGGCAAUAAGGUUUCCUCAUUGACUGCAUUGGA
rnacentral:lncRNA from 1 species